rnacentral:ncRNA from 1 species
CGAGUGAUCUACGCAUGUCCAGGGUGAAGUGGCGGUAAAGCGUCAUGGAGGCCCGCACCAAUAAGCGUUGAAAAGCUUCUGGAUGAGGUGUGCGUAGGAGUGAAAGGCCAAUCAAACUCGGAGAUAGCUCGUACUCCCCGAAAGGCAUUUAGGUGCCGCGUGCGCCGUUCAGCAUGAGAGGUAGAGCGACCGAUUGGUCAAGAGGGCUUCGCCGCCUAUCGAGACCAGACGAACUCCGAAUGCUCAUGCUCCGCAGGCGUGCAGUAAGGGUGCGGGUGCUAAGGUCCGUGCCCGAGAGGAGAAGAAUCCAGACCGCCGUCUAAGGCCCCGGAAUCCUGUCUGAGUUAGUCUAACGAAGUCUGGCCUCGGUGACAGCUAGGAUGUUGGCUUGGAAGCAGCCAUUCAUUCAAAGAGUGCGUAACAGCUCACUAGUCGAGAGGCCGGGCGUGGAUAAUAAUCGGGUAUAAGGCAGGUACCGAAGGCGCGGGAUAGUUUUCAAUUGUCAAUUUUCAAUUGUCAGUUGUCAUUGUAUCGGUAGGGGAGCAUUCCAUCGGCGCUGAAGCACGGCGGUGACGCCGUGUGGAGCCUAUGGAAAGGCAAACGCCGUGUGGAGCCUAUGGAAAGGCAAAUGUAGGUAUAAGUAACGACAAGACGGGUGUGAUUCCCGUCCGCCAUAAGACUAAGGUUUCCCGGGCGAUGCCAGUCAUCCCGGGGUCAGUCGGGUCCUAAGGAUAAGCCGAAGGGCGAUUCCGAUGGCAGACACGGUCAACAUUCCGUGACUUCCAUGACGGGCGACGUGGUGACGGAGCAGUGACACUGCCGCGGGGCGACGGAAGUCCCCGUUGACGGGCGUAGGCGCCGAGGGGGGCAGGCAAAUCCACCCCCCGAGCCGAGACCCCACAGUACGGCCUCCCCUCCGGGGGCGGCCGACAGCGCAGGUAACCAUACUCCCUAGAAAAACCGCUAAGCAUGAACCGUGAUGGAACCCGUACCGCAAACGGACACACGUAGUCGGGUAGAGCAUACUGAGGCGUUGAGAGAGCCGUGGCUAAGGAACUAGGCAAACCGACCCCGUAACUUCGGGAGAAGGGGUCCUCCAGUAAUGGAGGCGCAGAGAAUAGGUCCAGGCAACUGUUUAACAAAAACACAGGGCUGUGCUAACUCGAGAGAUGAUGUAUACAGCCUGACACCUGCCCGGUGCCGGAAGGUUAAGAGGAGGCGUCAGCCGGUUUGGUGACGCGCUGAAUUGAAGCCCCGGUAAACGGCGGCCGUAACUAUAACGGUCCUAAGGUAGCGAAAUUCCUUGUCGGGUAAGUUCCGACCUGCACGAAUGGUGUAAUG